GAUGAACGCUAGCGGGAGGCUUAAUACAUGCAAGUCGAGGGGUAACGAUUCGGACCUAGUCUGAAGGCGACGACCGGCGCACGGGUGAGUAACGCGUACACGACCUACCUCAUACUGAGGGAUAGCCCUGGGAAACUGGGAUUAAUACCUCAUAGUACUAAUUAAUUGCGAUUUAUUAGUUAAAGUUCCGGCGGUAUGAGAUGGGUGUGCGUUAGAUUAGCUAGUUGGUAAGGUAACGGCUUACCAAGGCGACGAUCUAUAGGGGGCGUGAGAGCGUGGACCCCCACACGGGUACUGAGACACGGACCCGACUCCUACGGGAGGCAGCAGUAAGGAAUAUUGGACAAUGGGGGCAACCCUGAUCCAGCCAUCCCGCGUGCAGGAAGACGGCCCUAUGGGUUGUAAACUGCUUUUAUAAGGGAAGAAAAUUAGUCUAUUUAGAUUAACUGACGGUACCUUAAGAAUAAGCACCGGCUAACUCCG
rnacentral:rRNA from 1 species